CACUGUUACUGUGACGUUACCUACAGAAGAAGGACCGGCUAACUCCGUGCCAGCAGCCGCGGUAAUACGGAGGGUCCGAGCGUUAAUCGGAAUUACUGGGCGUAAAGCGUGCGCAGGCGGUUUGUUAAGCGAGAUGUGAAAGCCCCGGGCUCAACCUGGGAAUUGCAUUUCGAACUGGCGAACUAGAGUCUUGUAGAGGGGGGUAGAAUUCCAGGUGUAGCGGUGAAAUGCGUAGAGAUCUGGAGGAAUACCGGUGGCGAAGGCGGCCCCCUGGACAAAGACUGACGCUCAGGCACGAAAGCGUGGGGAGCAAACAGGAUUAGAUACCCUGGUAGUCCACGCCGUAAACGAUGUCUACUCGGAGUUUGGUGUCUUGAACACUGGGCUCUCAAGCUAACGCAUUAAGUAGACCGCCUGGGGAGUACGGCCGCAAGGUUAAAACUCAAAUGAAUUGACGGGGCC
rnacentral:rRNA from 1 species